rnacentral:lncRNA from 1 species
GUCCGGAACAUAUACAAUGUACUAUGUAUGCAUUUUAACCCGUCAGGGUUUCAUGUUUUGCAAUAAAGUUUAUGUAUUCAUAUUCAUAAGUUUACACCAUGUGGUGCUACUUUCUAUCCAUAACCUGGUGCCUUGUUUUUGCAAGAUUGAAUAUCACACCUAUGUGAAAGUAAUUAGUACUUUUAAAGCUAACUACCAAUAAGGU